rnacentral:rRNA from 1 species
AGUGAACGCUGGCGGUAGGCCUAACACAUGCAAGUCGAACGGCAGCACAGUAAGAGCUUGCUCUUACGGGUGGCGAGUGGCGGACGGGUGAGGAAUACAUCGGAAUCUACUUUUUCGUGGGGGAUAACGUAGGGAAACUUACGCUAAUACCGCAUACGACCUACGGGUGAAAGCGGGGGAUCUUCGGACCUUGCGCGAUUGAAUGAGCGGAUGUCGGAUUAGCUAGUUGGCGGGGUAAAGGCCCACCAAGGCGACGAUCCGUAGCUGGUCUGAGAGGAUGAUCAGCCACACUGGAACUGAGACACGGUCCAGACUCCUACGGGAGGCAGCAGUGGGGAAUAUUGGACAAUGGGCGCAAGCCUGAUCCAGCCAUACCGCGUGGGUGAAGAAGGCCUUCGGGUUGUAAAGCCCUUUUGUUGGGAAAGAAAAGCAGCAGGUUAAUACCCCGCUGUUCUGACGGUACCCAAAGAAUAAGCACCGGCUAACUUCGUG